CAUUUUUAUUAUAAAUAUGGCCUAGUGAACAAAAUCCGCAUCCGAAAAAAGACGCAUGUACGUUUCUUUUUGACACACAAAAAUGAAUCAUUUAUCCAAGAUAUAUGUGUGACGUGAUGUCAAUGGCACAACGAAGAUACACAAUAUAAUCGAGGAUUAAAACGAUAUCGAAAUUAAAAUACGUAUUAAACACCGAAGAAAAUCAUGGAUAGAAAGGAAAUAAUGGAGCGCCUCGGGAAAUUACUUCCAAUGUCCAAUUCGGGCACUGUCGAUCUGGUCUGGUCCAUAGCGAUCAUUAUACUCGCGAUCAUAAUAUUUUUCAUUUUGAAAAAAAAUUAGUGGACGUUGCGGGAGGAAGUGCUUCGUUGUCUCUUCUUAAUUACUUAAAAUUGCGGGAAGACCGCUUCGAUUGUGUAUGCGGCGUUGUUCAGAAAAAAUUAUCAGUUUCGUCUUUUGCCCGGAAAAUGGAGCUUUGUUGUCUCUUCUCGUGUACAGCGGACUGAUUGGAGCGCUAAUUGCUCGAGCAAUCGCCCAUGUCGCACGUCGAGCUUAAUUCAAGGGCGAGGAUUCGAGUGACGGUGCUCACCAGAUGACACGAUGACGCAGCUGCACGAGGAGGAGGACGAUCAGCGGCAGCCCGCGCGGCGGCAGCAUCCUGCCAAUCGUCUUCGUUAUCCGGCCGGGAUCGCGUCAGUGUACGACGAGCGCGAUGGAGAACGUCAUCUCGCGGUAUCCUCGCAUCCCCUCGGCAUCCCCGUGACCGGCUCGCUGCCGCCACCGCCGCCGUUCUGCAAUCACAGUCGAAGAGAAGAGCGCCCGCCGCGACCCUUUCCGCCUGCCCGUCGCCACCCUUGACCCCGUAAUACGGCCCUCCACGUGUGUACUCCCACACGCAAUGUAUUCUACGCAAGCACGCACACUCACGGAAUUAUUCCGCACGCGGGACAAACCCUACGUUAACAUCCCCCGCGUCCGGUUUAUGCGGCAGGGAGAGAAGAGUUAAUCCCAGCGGAUAAAAAUUGAGGAAGACCCACGGAAGACUUAUCCCCCCAACUUAUCAUAAAAAUCCUACAUGAUUUUCAUUCUCCGAGGAAACUUAAUUAAAUUUCAUUUUAAUUAAGAAAA